CAAAGGACGUUCUGAAACAAGCACUACAGGAAAAGAACGAUAGUUGUCCAAGCUUUAAGGACUUGAGCAUUAUGUGGUGGUGUCUAAAUUCCACACCGAGUUGGUAAUCCUUGGAUGAGGGAUAACAGCCCACCACUCCCUUUAAAUAGAUAUAUUAGUUUAUAAACUUGUGAAUGCUUAUCUUCUUGUAACACCACUCAAACGUGCAGCAGUGAAGGUAUUAUUUAAUUCUUUUCA